rnacentral:rRNA from 1 species
AUGGCUCAGGAUGAACGCUAGCGGCAGGCUUAACACAUGCGAAGUCGGGGGGCAGCGCGGAGUAGCAAUACUCUGGCGGCGACCGGCGAAAGGGUGAGUAACGCGUGAGCAACAUGCCCGAUAGUGGAGGAUAGUCGAUGGAAACGUCGCGUAAUACUCCGUAACAUACGGGACCGCAUGAUUCUGUAUUAAUAGAUUUAUUGCUAUCGGAUUGGCUCGCGUACCAUUAGCUAGUUGGCGGGGUAACGGCCCACCAAGGCGACGAUGGUUAGGGGUUCUGAGAGGAAGGUCCCCCACAUUGGAACUGAGACACGGUCCAGACUCCUACGGGAGGCAGCAGUGAGGAAUAUUGGACAAUGGCCGGAAGGCUGAUCCAGCCAUGCCGCGUGGCGGGAAGACGGCCCUAUGGGUUGUAAACCGCUUUUGUUGGGGAGCAAUAAGGCCCACGUGUGGAUUGAUGAGAGUACCCAGCGAAUAAGCAUCGGCUAACUCCGUGCCAGCCGCCGC